rnacentral:rRNA from 1 species
AUAAUUCCGUAUGAGGUUGGGUGGCCGCAUGGCUGUUCGACCAAAGUCUUCGGGCGGUAGGGGAUGGGCGUGCGUCCCAUUAGCUGGUUGGCGGGGUAACGGCCCACCAAGGCUUCGAUGGGUAGGGGGCGUGAGAGCGUGGCCCCCCACACGGGUACUGAGACACGGACCCGACUCCUACGGGAGGCAGCAGUAAGGAAUAUUGGUCAAUGGCGGGAACGCUGAACCAGCCAUCCCGCGUGCAGGACGAAGGCCCUCCGGGUCGUAAACUGCUUUUAAGGGGGAAGAAACGGUCGGGAUUUCCCGGCCCUGACGGUACCCCUGGAAUAAGCACCGGCUAACUCCGUGCCAGCAGCCGCGGUAAUACGGAGGGUGCGAGCGUUAUCCGGAAUCACUGGGUUUAAAGGGUGCGUAGGCGGCGCGGUAAGUCAGGGGUGAAAGCUUCCCGCUCAACGGGAGAGGUGCCCUUGAUACUGCCGGGCUUGAAUUGGGCCGAGGCCGGCGGAACGCGGCAUGUAGCGGUGAAAUGCUUAGAUAUGCCGCAGAACACCGAUUGCGAAGGCAGCCGGCCAGGCCUCGAUUGACGCUGAGGCACGAAAGCGUGGGGAGCGAACAGGAUUAGAUACCCUGGUAGCCACGCCCUAACGAUGCUACUCGACUUUGCCCUGGUUGGUGAGGUCCAAGCGAAGCGUUUAGUAACCCCCUGGGGAGUCGCCGGCACGGUGAACUCAAGGAUUGACGGGGUCGCACAGCGGUGGAGCAGUGGUUAAUUCA